GGCGGAUGUAGCCAAGUGGAUCAAGGCAGUGGAUUUGUGAAUCAACCCAUGCGGCAAUCU
rnacentral:tRNA from 1 species